rnacentral:rRNA from 1 species
CGAGCGGGCGUCUUCGGGCGUCAGCGGCGAACGGGUGCGUAACGCGUAGGAACUCUACCUUGGGGGUGGGGGAUAACCCGGCGAAAGCCGGGCUAAUACCGCAUAUGGCCUACGGGUCAAAGCAGCAAUGCGCCUUUAGAUGAGCCUGCGUCCCAUUAUUUAAUCCUAGUUGGCGGGGUAAUGGCCCACCAAGGGUACGAUGGGUAGCUGGUCUGAGAGGACGAUCAGCCACACUGGGACUGAGACACGGCCCAGACUCCUACGGGAGGCAGCAGUGGGGAAUAUUGCGCAAUGGGCGAAAGCCUGACGCAGCCAACCCGCGUGUGUGAUGAAGGCCUUCGGGUUGUAAAGCACUGUCGUGAGGGAAGAAGUUCUGACGGUACCUCACAAGAAAGCACCGGCUAACCCCGUGCCAGCAGCCGCGGUAAUACGGGGGGC